rnacentral:rRNA from 1 species
GUCGAACGGUAACAUUGGUGCUUGCACCAGAUGACGAGUGGCGCACGGGUGCGUAACGCGUAUGCAAUCUACCUUUUACUAGAGUAUAGCCCAGAGAAAUUUGGAUUAAUCCUCUAUAAUAUCUUUUAAUUUCAUGAUUUUAAGAUUAAAGUUUUAACGGUAAAAGAUGAGCAUGCGUCCUAUUAGUUUGUAGGUGAGGUAACGGCUCACCUAGACUACGAUAGGUAGGGGCCCUGAGAGGGGGAUCCCCCACACUGGUACUGAGACACGGACCAGACUCCUGCGGGAGGCAGCAGUAAGGAAUAUUGGACAAUGGACGAAAGUCUGAUCCAGCCAUGCCGCGUGCAGGAUGAAAGCCCUACGGGUUGUAAACUGCUUUUAUACAGGAAGAAACACUCCGACGUGUCGGAGCUUGACGGUACUGUAAGAAUAAGGAUCGGCUAACUCCGUGCCAGCAGCCGCGGUAAUACGGAGGAUCCAAGCGUUAACCGGAAUCAUUGGGUUUAAAGGGUCCGCAGGCUGUUUUUUAAGUCAGAGGUGAAAUCCUACAGCUCAACUGUAGAACUGCCUUUUGAUACUGAAAAACUUGAGUUAUUGUG